UCCCCAAGGUGACAAGGAUUGAAGGU
rnacentral:piRNA from 1 species